rnacentral:lncRNA from 12 species
AUGGCUCCUUCUUUUUUUUUUUUUAAUUUUUAUUUAUUUAUGAUAGUCACAGAGAGAGAGAGAGAGAGAGAGGCAGAGGCACAGGCAGUGGGAGAAGCAGGCUCCAUGCACCGGGAGCCCGACGUGGGAUUCGAUCCUGAAUCUUCAGGAUCACGCCCUGGGCCAAAGGCAGGCGCCAAACCGCUGCGCCACCCAGGGAUCCCCAUCAUGGCUCCUUCUGAAGAACUCCUUAGGAGAAAAUUUGUACCUAAUUUGGGAUUAUGUGGGUAGAAGAAAACAAAAAAUAUUCCUUGGAGUAAUACCUGAAAACAGGAGUUACAGAUGAAGGCUUUCAGAACAAACAACAAAACAAAAGCCCUGCCUAUAUAUACCAAAACAGUGUUAAGGCUUGAGAUGAUUUUUUUUUUUGACCUUUGCUUUAUGAAACAUGGACAAUCUUAGAUUUGAUUGGAGAAUUUUCUCCGAGUUUUUUUUUUUUUUAAACCAUGUUCCUUGCCUGAAAGCUAAACCUAUUUAUGGUGAGCACUGUUUUUUCAAUUAAGUUUAUUUUCAUUUUCCCAUAGGCCAUGUUAGCUGAGAACGUCCAAAAGUUUAUUUUUCUUUCCUUUCCUUUUUAUAAAGGUUUUAAAAUAAAUUAUACAGCACUUACA